UCUAAAAUUAGUAAGGUAAAAACAAUUUUAAAAGUAGAUCUAGGUAAAGACAUAAUCAUAAACUUGGUUUCCAAAUACUAAUUUUAGAAGAAAAGAAACACAAAAACUGGGAACAACUAGAACCGUCAAUUGGGCAUCUGACCAUGGGCUAAGCCCAGUCCACAACAUUAUGGACAGUCCAUGGUCGGCCCGUAAAGAAAACGGGUUAAAUGGUCUAAAGACCAAUUAUGUCCACGGGUUUAAUGGGCUAGCCCACACGGUCUAUGGUUGGCCCAUCAAGUUUCUCAACACAUCAAUUUUCUUCUCUUCUCUCUCCCUCGGCGACGAAGCUCCCUCUCUCUCUCUUUCUCGCUUCGACCUCUCUCUCAACUCCUACUCCGGUUAGUUCUACUAGAAUAUGAAUCCGUUGAUUAGAAUAAGUUCUCUCU
rnacentral:sRNA from 1 species